UACAGAGGCCACGAGCGUUAGGCGGAAUCACUGGGCUUAAAGCGUGUGUAGGUGGAUCGGUAAGUACCUUGUGAAAUCCCACGACUCAAUCGUGGAACUGCUUGGUAUACUGCCAGUCUUGAGGCACUCAGGGGCGAGCGGAACAGAUGGUGGAGCGGUGAAAUGCGUAGAUAUCAUCUGGAACGCCAAUGGUGAAGACAGCUCGCUGGGGGUGUUCUGACACUGAGACACGAAAGCCAGGGGAGCGAACGGG
rnacentral:rRNA from 1 species